rnacentral:rRNA from 1 species
UACAGAGGGUGCGAGCGUUAAUCGGAAUUAUUGGGCGUAAAGCGCGCGUAGGCGGCCACUUAAGUCGGAUGUGAAAGCCCCUGGCUCAACUGGGGAAGUGCACCCGAAACUGAAUGGCUUGAAUGCAAAAGAGGGUCGCGGAAUUCCCGGUGUAGAGGUGAAAUUCGUAGAUAUCGGGAGGAACACCGGUGGCGAAGGCGGCGACCUGGGUUGACAUUGACGCUGAGGCGCGAAAGCGUGGGGAGCAAACAGG